rnacentral:rRNA from 1 species
GACGUAGGAUGCAAGCGUUGUCCGGAUUUACUGGGCGUAAAGCGUGUGCAGGCGGACCGACAGGUAGAUUGUGAAAUUCCCCGGCUUAACCGGGGAGGGCCAGUCUAAACCGGCGGACUGGAAGCAAGCAGAGGCGUGGGGAAUUCCCGGUGUAGUGGUGAAAUGCGUAGAGAUCGGGAGGAACACCAGAGGCGAAGGCGCCACGCUGGGCUUGACUUGACGCUCAGACACGAAGGCGCGGGGAGCGAACAGG